rnacentral:sRNA from 1 species
UUUUAUCUUCAUCUCGAAGUGCAAGAGUCCAGUUUCAUCUUAUGGAGUUAAAUAGAUCAGUCUGCUUGGAAUGCCCUGAGUUUCAGAUUCCAUGGUUUCAUGACCGCUUCUGUCAACAAUUUAAUAAAGGUAUUGGUGGCAUGGAUGGAGCACAACAGCAGAUUUAUAAAAUGUUAGCAGAGGUACUAGGAGGAAUCAAUUGUGUAAAAGCCUCGGUUCUUACGCCUUAUUACUACAAAGUAGGUAAGUUAUUGGGUAGGUUAUUAGUUACUUUCAGAAAAUCAAACUAAUUUGAAUAGAAUCAUCUUAUCAGUUGGAAUUUUUAAAAGUUUUUUGAAUUUUUUUCAAGUUGUUAUUAUUAUUAAAAUUUUCAAACAGAGGUAGAAAGAGCAAUAGAAUAAAUCCUCAAGUUCCCGUGGCCCAGUGUUGAUAACCAAGAGCGUUUUCUAUUCUUUAGAAAAAAAA